GAAAGGCUGAAAGACCUCUCGUAGCCUGCGGCGUUCCUAACUGGUACUUCCUUGGUUUUGAGAGCUAAAAACUUAAGAUCCACCCUUGAUCUUCAAGACAGGGAAUUGAAAGGUAGAGAAAUGGAAAUGCACACGGAGUAACCUGGGGAAGGCUGAGUGGUUCGAAUGAUGGAUCUGUAGCCUGAUAUAUACUAAGUGAGCUUUUCAUCGUUGUCAUGAAGAACACUUUCAGAGGAUGAAAAGUUGCUUUGGCUCACCAUUUCCGAUAAAAAGUUCAUGUUUUUAGGACUGUGAUCAGGUGGAGAACCAUGACGGGAGCACAUGGAGGAAGACCACGCUCACCUCACUGUCAGCUGAGAAACAACAAAUAAGGAGAACCAAUCUGGAGACGGGAUAUGCAACCCUAAGGAGUAGGCUCUAUCUCCUGAGAGCAUCUUGCACGGCAAUCAAGCUUUUAGCACUGACUUUUGGAAGAACGUUUUAGAUCCACACCAUUCCACAAAGCAGAACUGCUGAAUCACACAAACUUAACUUCUGAGGAAGCUCCCCACUCUCCAAGUGUGUAGAGGCCACGCACAGUUGAAGUAGGGAAGGGAGAGAGUGAAUCUCUGCCCUUCCUGUAUGUUAACAGUGCAAUGAGAGAAGCACGUGGUUUGAGAAUAAUUCAUGAGAGGAACAUGUGUUUCAAAGGAUCUCUGUAUUUUCCCAGAAAUAGUUAAUAUGUUAAUUUUCCACCAAUUUGAAAACUAGCCUUUUUGGGUUUUCGGUUUACGGUGCUACUGUCUACCAAACUAUAGAUUCUAAGAGAGCAUAACAACAGCUACUUAAAAGUAUCUGUGUCGUUACCCGAAUAGAUGUUUUGAUGGCACAGCACUAAGUUAGAAAAGUACUGAAAGAUUAAUUCCGUACACUGCAUUAGCUCAAAUCAGCACUGAUGAGCCUUCCUCCAUUAAGUUGUGACUUAACAGUAAUAGAGGACAGCAUGACCCAUCUUAUAGUAGUUAUAAGCUGUUUAUAGUGAGCCAAAAUCCUAAUCUUUAUGCAUGUAACUCUUCAGCUACGUGUUUAAACUGUAAACAGUAUUGAAUAAGCACUAUUACAGCUGCUAGCUACCAUUGUCCAUAAAAUAGCCUCACAUUUCUCCCACUUGCACAGUUGCCGUAAGAACUGCUUUGUU
ensembl:lncRNA